rnacentral:rRNA from 1 species
GACGAACGCUGGCGGCGUGCUUAACACAUGCAAGUCGAACGGAAAGGCCCUGCUUUUGGGGUGUUCUCGAGGGGCGAACGGGUGUGUAACACGUGAGUAACCUGCCCUUGACUUUGGUAUAACUGCAGGAAACGGGGUCUUAUACCGUAUAGGAUCUCCUUCGGCAGGGUGGUGGUUGGAAAUUUUCGGCUGUGGGGGAUGGACGCGCGGUUUAUCUGCUUGUGGGUGGGUUAGUGGCCUAGCAAGGCUGUGGCGGGUGGCCUGCCUGAGGGGGUGGCCGGACACAUUGGCACUGAGACACGGCACAGACUCAUAGGGGGCGCAGCAGGGGGAAAUAGUGCAAAAUGGGCGGACCUCAGACGCAGAAACGCCGCGUGCGGGAAGAGCGCCUUCGGUUUGUAAACCGCUCUCGCCUGUGAAGACGCGUGAGUGACGGUACUGGGUAAAGAAGCACCGGCUAACUACGUG